UUAGGGGACAUGUUUACUUGU
rnacentral:siRNA from 1 species